GCCAAAAUAGCUCAGUUGGGAGAGCAUUAGGCUGAAGAUCUGAAGGUCCCUAGCUUCAUCUGGGGUUUAGGCA
rnacentral:tRNA from 1 species